rnacentral:rRNA from 1 species
UACAGAGGUCUCAAGCGUUGUUCGGAUUCAUUGGGCGUAAAGGGUGUGUAGGUGGCGCCGUAAGUCGGGUGUGAAAUCUCGGGGCUUAACUCCGAAACUGCAUUUGAUACUGUGGUGCUUGAGGACUGGAGAGGAGACUGGAAUUCACGGUGUAGCAGUGAAAUGCGUAGAGAUCGUGAGGAAGACCAGUGGCGAAGGCGGGUCUCUGGACAGUUCCUGACACUGAGGCACGAAGGCCAGGGGAGCAAACGGG